AGAUCUAGCUUGCUAGAUGCUGACGAGUGGCGCACGGGUGCGUAACGCGUAUGCAAUCUACCUUUAACUGAGGGAUAGCCCAGAGAAAUUUGGAUUAAUACCUCAUAGUAUUAUAAUUAGGCAUCUUUUUAUAAUUAAAACUUCGGUGGUUAAAGAUGAGUAUGCGUACUAUUAGCUAGUUGGUAAGGUAAAAGCUUACCAAGGCAACGAUAGUUAGGGGGCCUGAAAGGGUGAUCCCCCACACUGGUACUGAGACACGGACCAGACUCCUACGGGAGGCAGCAGUGAGGAAUAUUGCACAAUGGAGGAAACUCUGAUGCAGCCAUGCCGCGUGCAGGAAGAAUGCCCUAUGGGUUGUAAACUGCUUUUAUACAAGAAGAAACCUCGGUACGUGUACCGACUUGACGGUAUUGUAUGAAUAAGCACCGGCUAACUCCGUGCCAGCAGCCGCGGUAAUACGGAGGGUGCAAGCGUUAUCCGGAUUUAUUAGGUUUAAAGGGUCCGCAGGCGGAAUAUUAAGUCAGUGGUGAAAGCCUACAGCUCAA
rnacentral:rRNA from 1 species